CUCUUUCUGGCUUUACAGGUGGACUGAGUGGGGAACCAGAGAAAACUGAAAAAGGUGGUCUGGAAACAAUUGCACUGGUUGGAAUAAUUAUUGGAAUCAUAGUUGCAGUUGGAAUCCUCGCAGGAAUAAUAAUCGCUGUUGUAAGGAAGAUGUCAGGCAGGUACUCGCCCUGAAAACAGUUGAAGCAAGCAGCCAUGCCAUUCUAUGC
rnacentral:lncRNA from 1 species